rnacentral:rRNA from 1 species
GGAAAGAAGACCCUGUUGAGCUUGACUCUAGUCUGGUGCGUACAGUGGCGUGAGAGGCGUAGAAUAAGUGGGAGGCCGCGCCCUUGAAAUACCACUACUCUUAAUGUCGCUUUACUUAUCCCGUGAGGUUACAGUCUUCUGGAAUCCAAGUAAGGCGGGAGAACCCAUCAGGUGGGGAGUUUGGCUGGGGCGGCACAUCUGUUAAA